rnacentral:RNase_P_RNA from 1 species
GGUUUACGUUGGGUAAUCGCUGUCAAUGAUUGUCCACCCGAGGCGGAUGUGCAAUUUUGCAACUUCGCUUUGCUUUGGCAAAAUUGGCAGAGGAAAGUCCGAACACCCCAAACACAUGAAAUAUCAUGUGUUUGGAAGUAAGCAGAGGGUAACCCCCUCCGCUUCGGUAGUGAUAUCGAAGUAGGGAAAUCCCGAUUCUGAUUUAUNNNNNNNNNNNNNNNNAGGGAAAUCCCGAUUCUGAUUUAUCAGGAUUGAGGACACUCGACCAUGGGGUCGGUGGUGCCACAGAGACAAUACUAGCCCCGAUUUUAUCGAGGGUAAAAGGUGAAAAGACUAGAGAAGUUUUAUUUUUUUAAUAAAGCUACCCUAGAGUUAUAAUCGGCAACGAUUAUAAGUGGUAAACCCUGCUUGGUGCAAGGCCGUGCUCCAAUUUUGUUCGCUGUAAGCGAAUACAAAACUGAGANNNNNNNNNNNNNUUUAGCGAAGGAGGACAUGCCCGCCCUAGGCGGGUACUCAAAAUUGUAAUUUCGUUUCACUCAAACAAUUUUGGUAGAGUGCCGCUUGAUUCCGCUUGGUAACUUGCGGAACAGAUAAAUGAUUAUCGCUGUCUUUGCUUUCGAGUAAAUACAGUACAGAAUUCGGCUUAUAAACGUAAACAUAGA